ACUCUAAGCGGUGGAUCACUCGGCUCAUGGGUCGAUGAAGAACGCAGCAAACUGUGCGUCAUCGUGUGAACUGCAGGACACAUGAACAUCGACAUUUUGAACGCAUAUCGCAGUCCAUGCUGUUAUGUACUUUAAUUAAUUUUAUAGUGCUGCUUGGACUACAUAUGGUUGAGGGUUGUAAGACUAUGCUAAUUAAGUUGCUUAUAAAUUUUUAUAAGCAUAUGGUAUAUUAUUGGAUAAAUAUAAUAAUUUUUAUUCAUAAUAUUAAAAAAUAAAUGAAAAACAUUAUCUCACAUUUGAAUGUGAAAAACGAAGAGAAAUAUUUUCUUUUUCAAUCAAAUAAUACUGAGAAAUGUCUAGCAUAAAAAAUUGAAAUAUUUUUCAUCUAGAAUUGUCUCUUAUUAAUGAUUCGGAAAUAGAAAAAUCUUGGUUAUGUUAUUAUUCUUCGUUGGUUCGUUAAAAAUGGAUAAAUAAAAACUUUGCAUACAAGAAUUAAUAAAAAUGUUAUAACGAAUUUAAUUAAAUGUUUUAUCAUUAUAUAUAAAGAAUUUAUGGCAAGAUAAAGUUAUAUACAACCUCAACUCAUAUGGGACUACCCCCUGAAUUUAAGCAUAUUAAUUAGGGGAGGAAAAGAAACUAACAAGGAUUUUCUUAGUAGCGGCGAGCGAAAAGAAAACAGUUCAGCACUAAGUCACUUUGUCUAUAUGGCAAAUGUGAGAUGCAGUGUAUGGAGCGUCAAUAUUCUAGUAUGAGAAAUUAACGAUUUAAGUCCUUCUUAAAUGAGGCCAUUUACCCAUAGAGGGUGCCAGGCCCGUAUAACGUUAAUGAUUACUAGAUGAUGUUUCCAAAGAGUCGUGUUGCUUGAUAGUGCAGCACUAAGUGGGUGGUAAACUCCAUCUAAAACUAAAUAUAACCAUGAGACCGAUAGUAAACAAGUACCGUGAGGGAAAGUUGAAAAGAACUCUGAAUAGAGAGUUAAACAGUACGUGAAACUGCUUAGAGGUUAAGCCCGAUGAACCUGAAUAUCCGUUAUGGAAAAUUCAUCAUUAAAAUUGUAAUAUUUAAAUAAUAUUAUGAGAAUAGUGUGCAUUUUUUCCAUAUAAGGACAUUGUAAUCUAUUAGCAUAUACCAAAUUUAUCAUAAAAUAUAACUUAUAGUUUAUUCCAAUUAAAUUGCUUGCAUUUUAACACAGAAUAAAUGUUAUUAAUUUGAUAAAGUGCUGAUAGAUUUAUAUGAUUACAGUGCGUUAAUUUUUCGGAAUUAUAUAAUGGCAUAAUUAUCAUUGAUUUUUGUGUUUAUUAUAUGCACUUGUAUGAUUAACAAUGCGAAAGAUUCAGGAUACCUUCGGGACCCGUCUUGAAACACGGACCAAGGAGUCUAACAUAUGUGCAAGUUAUUGGGAUAUAAACCUAAUAGCGUAAUUAACUUGACUAAUAAUGGGAUUAGUUUUUUAGCUAUUUAUAGCUAAUUAACACAAUCCCGGGGCGUUCUAUAUAGUUAUGUAUAAUGUAUAUUUAUAUUAUUUAUGCCUCUAACUGGAACGUACCUUGAGCAUAUAUGCUGUGACCCGAAAGAUGGUGAACUAUACUUGAUCAGGUUGAAGUCAGGGGAAACCCUGAUGGAAGACCGAAACAGUUCUGACGUGCAAAUCGAUUGUCAGAAUUGAGUAUAGGGGCGAAAGACCAAUCGAACCAUCUAGUAGCUGGUUCCUUCCGAAGUUUCCCUCAGGAUAGCUGGUGCAUUUUAAUAUUAUAUAAAAUAAUCUUAUCUGGUAAAGCGAAUGAUUAGAGGCCUUAGGGUCGAAACGAUCUUAACCUAUUCUCAAACUUUAAAUGGGUAAGAACCUUAACUUUCUUGAUAUGAAGUUCAAGGUUAUGAUAUAAUGUGCCCAGUGGGCCACUUUUGGUAAGCAGAACUGGCGCUGUGGGAUGAACCAAACGUAAUGUUACGGUGCCCAAAUUAACAACUCAUGCAGAUACCAUGAAAGGCGUUGGUUGCUUAAAACAGCAGGACGGUGAUCAUGGAAGUCGAAAUCCGCUAAGGAGUGUGUAACAACUCACCUGCCGAAGCAACUAGCCCUUAAAAUGGAUGGCGCUUAAGUUGUAUACCUAUACAUUACCGCUAAAGUAGAUGAUUUAUAUUACUUGUGAUAUAAAUUUUGAAACUUUAGUGAGUAGGAAGGUACAAUGGUAUGCGUAGAAGUGUUUGGCGUAAGCCUGCAUGGAGCUGCCAUUGGUACAGAUCUUGGUGGUAGUAGCAAAUAAUCGAAUGAGACCUUGGAGGACUGAAGUGGAGAAGGGUUUCGUGUGAACAGUGGUUGAUCACGAGUUAGUCGGUCCUAAGUUCAAGGCGAAAGCCGAAAAUUUUCAAGUAAAACAAAAAUGCCUAACUAUAUAAACAAAGCGAAUUAUAAUACACUUGAAUAAUUUUGAACGAAAGGGAAUACGGUUCCAAUUCCGUAACCUGUUGAGUAUCCGUUUGUUAUUAAAUAUGGGCCUCGUGCUCAUCCUGGCAACAGGAACGACCAUAAAGAAGCCGUCGAGAGAUAUCGGAAGAGUUUUCUUUUCUGUUUUAUAGCCGUACUACCAUGGAAGUCUUUCGCAGAGAGAUAUGGUAGAUGGGCUAGAAGAGCAUGACAUAUACUGUUGUGUCGAUAUUUUCUCCUCGGACCUUGAAAAUUUAUGGUGGGGACACGCAAACUUCUCAACAGGCCGUAC
rnacentral:rRNA from 1 species